rnacentral:misc_RNA from 1 species
AACCAAGCGGUAAUUUGUGACGCCCUUUCUCUGUUGUAGACCACAUCAAAACAUGUUGUAAAUUAAGUAUACAUUUGGGAUUUCCCUUCAUAGUGGACAGAACUAAACGGCCAAAGAUACACAAUGGCUGCAACUCCAGAUUGUGGACGGGUUGUGAAGGCAAAUGACCGAUCAUUCAAUUCUCAAUUUAAAUAUGCAAAUAAUUAUAUCAAGACUUCCAAGUACAACAUUUUCACAUUUAUUCCAAUAAAUUUAUUUGAGCAGUUUAUGAGAAUUGCCAAUUUUUACUUCUUAAUACUGUUAAUACUGCAGUUCAUUGAUGUAGUUUCAUCGUUAAACCCUGUAACGACAGCCUUACCCCUAGUAUUUGUACUAACUGUAUCGGCAGUUAAGGACGGCAUCGAUGAUUAUAAAAGACACAAAAGCGAUGGGACAGUUAACAAUAGAACUGCAGAAAUAUUGGUUUGCCAAGACACAAAGCGUGAUCUAGUGGCGACCAAGUGGCACCAUGUGCAAGUUGGGGAUAUCAUUAAACUGUAUAAUAAUGACUUUGUGACGGCCGACAUCCUUGUAUUAUCUAGUAGCGAGCCGCAUAGCGUAGUUUACGUUGAAACUGCUGAGCUUGAUGGUGAAACCAACCUGAAAGUGAAACAAGCCCUUCCAGAAACAUCACCGUUAGGACAGGACCUAGAAAAACUUGGCAAUUUUAAUGGGGAGGUUCAAUGCGAGGCUCCAAAUAAUCGUCUUGAUCGAUACGAGGGAACACUAAAUUGGGGCGAAGAGAAGUUCUCGCUGAACAAUGACCAGCUCUUGCUAAGAGGGUGUCGGAUACGUAAUACACAGUGGUGUUAUGGAAUUGUAAUCUUUGCCGGCAAGGAUACGAAGCUGAUGCAGAACAGUGGGAAGUCGAAGCUUAAAAGAACCAGUCUGGAUAAACUUAUGAACAAGCUUGUAAUAUCAAUAUUUAUAUUAAUGCUUGUCAUCUGCCUCAUCUGUUCCAUCUGCUGUUCCGUGUGGGAAUAUACAUAUGGGGAAGAGUUCCAGGUUUACCUUCCUUGGGAUCAGAAGAACGGCGCUAUCAUUGCAACCUUGAAUUUCUUCUCGUAUAUAAUUGUACUAAACACACUUGUACCUAUCUCACUUUACGUAACGGUAGAGUUGAUUCGUUUGUUCCAGAGCUUUUGGAUAAACUGGGAUGUGAAAAUGUAUUACGAGACCAAGGACUGCACAGCAAAGGCCCGAACCACAACAUUAAAUGAGGAGCUGGGGCAGAUUCAGUAUGUGUUUUCUGAUAAAACAGGUACUUUAACCCAGAAUAUGAUGACAUUCAACAAGUGUAGUAUCUCUGGUAGGAAGUUCGGAGAGUUCAAAAACAAAGCAGGAGAUAUUGUACCGAUUGACGAGGACACACCGAAAGUUGAUUUCUCAUCAAACAAAUAUUACGAGGAAAGUUUUGAGUUUUAUGACAAUUCGCUAAAGGCUGGAGUAGAUCGCGGAGACCGUCAGACGUGGCUUUUCUUCCGGUUGCUUGCACUCUGCCAUACAGUCAUGGCCGAGCAUGGAGAUGAUGGGAGCUUAACCUAUCAAGCCCAGUCCCCUGAUGAAGCAGCAUUAGUCGGUGCUGCAAGGAACUUUGGUUUUACUUACAAAUCACGUACGCCAACAACAAUCACAAUUGAAGUUCAGGGAAGAGAAGAUACGUACGAGCUUCUUCAGAUCUUGGACUUCAAUAACGUCCGCAAACGAAUGUCUGUGAUUGUCCGGCAAAACAAUCGUAUCAAGUUAUUCUGUAAGGGCGCAGAUAAUGUGGUUUUUGAGAGACUUGGGGAAGCCAGUACCUUUCUCAAAGAUGUUACGCAAGAACAUUUGAAUGACUUUGCAAACGAAGGACUGAGAACAUUGGUUCUAGCAAUGAAAGAUAUUGGAGAACAAGAAUACAAGGAUUGGAACAAGAAGUAUCAUGAGGCCUCAACCUCACUUGAAAACAGAGAAGAAAAGAUAGAUGCUGUUCAAGAAGAAAUUGAAAAGGAUAUGAUGUUGCUAGGGGCAACAGCAAUUGAAGAUAAACUCCAAGAUGGGGUGCCAGAAACUAUUGAGAAUCUUAUCAAGGGUAAUAUCAAAGUAUGGGUGUUGACAGGAGACAAACAAGAAACAGCGAUCAACAUCGGUUACUCCUGUCGUUUGCUUACCGAUGAGUUCAACGAAGUGUUCGUCAUCAACCAAACCGAGGAGGAGGCGAUUAAAGAAGUAGUAAACAACACUCUUGAUAAGAUUUGUGAUACCAUGGGGAUUAAGAACAAAAUGAGAUGUGAUGAGGAUGAUAUUGUUGACGAGGAUGAUGACGAGGAGGAUGAGAAAAAGAACAUGGAACAACUGGCGAGCAUCUAUAGCUUUGCGAUUGUUAUCACUGGAGCCAGCUUGGUACAUGCACUGCAAGCAGAUAUUGAACAGAUUUUCCUGGAGGCCGCUUGUUUCUGCAAAACCAUCAUCUGUUGCCGUGUCACACCUUUGCAAAAAGCACAAGUUGUGAAUCUUGUGAAAAAAUACAAGAAAGCAGUGACACUUGCGAUAGGGGAUGGUGCCAAUGAUGUCAGCAUGAUUAAAGCUGCACAUAUAGGUGUUGGAAUUAGCGGUCAAGAGGGAAUGCAAGCUGUUCUGGCAAGUGAUUUCUCAUUUGGGCAGUUCCGUUUUCUUGAAAGGCUUCUGCUUGUUCACGGACGUUGGUCAUACGUGCGUAUGAGCAAGUUUCUGUCGUACUUCUUCUACAAGAAUUUCGCAUUUACUCUUAGUCACUUUUGGUUUGCGUUCUAUUGUGGCUUCUCAGCUAUGGCUGUUUAUGACCAGUGGUUCAUUACACUCUACAAUAUUGUAUUCACAUCGCUCCCUGUCAUAGCUCUUGGAAUCUUUGAUCAGGAUGUGAAUGAGGACAUGUGUGUUAGAUUCCCAGCAUUGUAUAAACCUGGACAGAAGAAUGAGUACUUCAACUACUGGGUGUUCACCAAGAGCAUUGUGUCUGGAACAAUCACCUCCCUCACACUAUUCUUUAUUUCUUAUGGAACCUUCCUAGAUGUGGCGAACCCAGAUGGUUUUCCAGCAGGAUCGCAGACUACCUUUGGUUGCAUUUUAGCUUCCAUGCUGGUACUGGUUGUCAACUUUAAGAUGGCAAUGGACACAGCCUACUGGACGGUAUUCAACCACAUCUGCAUCUGGUUAAGCAUCAUCAGUUACUGGAUAAUAAUCUUCACCAUGUACAGUGACAUCAUGUACGAGUUCUUCUUUGCCAUUUUCACAUUUAUUGGUUCUGCACGGAUUAUGAGCACAAUGCCAACAUUCUGGUUCAGUAUGCCACUGGUAUGUGUCAUACUACUCAUGCCCGUCGCCGGAAAGCGCGCCAUUUCGAUGGAUGUUGCGCCAACCCUUGCAGAGAAGGUCCGCAUGCUGCAGCAGAGGGAAGCUCAACAGGCAAAGGAAGACAAGGACAAUGUUGUUGAGCUGAAGUCGUUGAAGCGUAUCGAUGGUGAUAUGAAUGGCAAAGUUAUUAAAAAUGAUCGGCCGAAGAGUCGCAAAGAUUCGGUUCGGGAAGAAGGAAUUAGCCGCAAGCGCCCUCAGUCAGCGGGAUCAGGUUAUGCGUUUUCGCAUCAAGAAGGAUUUGGAAGGAUGAUCACAUCAGGAACAAUCCGAGACAGUCAACGACGUAAGAAAGGAAGGGAAAAGAAUGGAACUGCCUCUACAGACAGGCGGAAGUCAAGUGCACAUAGCCGAGAUACAGACAGUGGAAGAGGGUCAGCUUUGAAAGACGAAGAGCUUAUUGUAUAAGGCACAUCAAUCAAACAAAGGCCUAUUAUGAAGAAGAAAAAAUUUAUUUCAGGAAUAAAACACAUGGUAUGGUUGGUAACAUUUGGGAUAAAUAUUUCUCUGUUUGGUAAAUUAAUGCUUCUUUGUUGUGAAAAUGAGAACAAAUUCCUUCAUGUACAAUUGUAAAAAUAAAGCAGUAUAUAUGUACAUUUUGGGGAAACUGUAUAGUUACAGGUAUUUAAUUAGAUGAACUAUUUUUGUACUAUUUUUGGUGGUCUUCUGGUAUAUUUAGUGUGAAGAUAUAAUUUUCUUGGUGAAAAGGGCAUUUAACAGAGUUGGCUAGUGAGCGAUAAUCAGAAAAACAUGAAGAAGUUUUGCAAGUAGUAUGCUUAAAAGAAUAAGGCAAAUUUGUCAAAAAUUUUAAUAUUUUUGGACAAUUUUCUGAACAUUCAGAGGGCAUUUUGAGUUGUCACUUAUAUACUUAGUAGUUUGUCAAUAAUAACAUAUUUCGUAUAUUAACUUAAAUUACAAUUUGUAAACAGGAUUUUACCAAAGCACUUGUGAAGAUUUAUCAUAAAAAUGCAUCUUUGGAAUUAAAGCACAAUUCUUUAAAUACUGAGGCUGCUUCAGUUGGAUAUAUCAUGUUUAAUUAGGUUUAUUUUAUGUUGCCGUUCAUCAUUAACUGUUAACCAUAUUUGUUUUUGUGUUCACAUUGUAUUGACUGGUAAGCAUGCAUAUUAGGCAAGUUUAACUGUAUUCUCAUAUGCCAGUCAAUUCUCAUGGGUUGCUUAUGCAACUCUUUCAUGGUUUAAUUCAUGCAUGGAGCUUUUGUAAUGAUGUUACUGUAUGCCCCGUCUAUGUGAAGUCAUUGUAUAUUCUCUCAUCUUCUUUUAUAAUUUAUUAUUCACCAAACAUGUCUGCUUUUUAAUGAGUUUUAUGAUAAGUUUCUAAAAUUCAGUUUUUGUCAACAUGGGACCUAUAGAAGAGUUUUGGCUCCAUGGUGUGAAGUGUCUUGUGCAAUACAUUUUUUAAGAUAAAUUAUAAACAAAAUGUUUUGUUCAUUUUAUAGUAGAAAAAAAGUCAGCAGAAGGGCGAUGCUCAAUCAUGUGACAUGAUCUACCAAAAAAAUUGAUUCUAUCAUCAUAUGUUAAUGAAUUUUUAUAAGUUUAAUGUUUUAUUUGACAAAACAAAGGUCAUAGUUUUCUCUAACUAAAAAUUAGUGAAUGUGUUGACAAAUUUAUUGAAUUUUUAAAUGUAUAAUUUUUAUGAGCAUCUAAUUUUAAGCUACAAAAUAAUGUAACUCAGUAAUUACUGAAACAUUAAUAAAAAUGUACACAGCAUAAAAAAAAAUCUGGUAAUAUAUUUUAUCAGGAAUUUAUUUUUUAACACAUUAAAAUUAAUUCUUUAACAAGUUAUUAAUAAUGGAUAUUUUAAAACAAUUGCUCUAUCUCUUUGUAGAGCAGACCUCAGUUAAAAAUGUAAUUAUUUCUGUAUCAAUCCCUUUAUAUCUGGCCAUAUGACAACGGUAUUAGACUUAGUAUACACAGGAACCAAAUUUAUUAACGUAAUCUAUACAUGCAAACCCUACUACUCUACACUCCAGGCCAUAGAACAUGUAAGUAUACACAUAAGCCAUACUACACAUUAUUGUAUGUGUAGACACAUAAUAUGUAUUCAUUUAGGAAUGGUGGCAGGACAACACUUAACAUGGAUUCCUUGAAUAAUUUUUCUUUUCUUCCAGACUUCUUGUGCCUUAAUGACUAAUUCACAGAAUUUCAACCAAACUUUGUCCAAUAUUGAGACAUAAAGAAUGUUGUUUUAUAUGUUACAUACCAAUGCAUGUCUAGUGGGUAGAAGAUUAAGUGAAAAACAAACAACAUAUAGUGUACAUUACAUGUUCUGUGUCCCAUUUAUAGUUUUGUAGAUUAAUGGACAUAUUUUGUAAGGUGAAGAUGCAACUAUGAAUUUCAUAAUGUAAUAAAGUUAAUACCUCUUAGUUAUAAUUAGGGCUUGAUGUAUAACAUCCAGUCAAUUGUAAAUUUGUACUCCUUUAUGGAGUAGUUUUAGAUAUUAUUAUUAUUAUCAACAUUCCAUAAUAUAUGUAUAUAUAACAUUAUAUUACAGUGAACAUGUAUCUUUAGUUUUUUCUUUAUAAAAUGCCAAGGUCUGUUAGAGUAAAUUCUUCAAGGUAAAUUUAUCAAGGGAGAUUUUGCCGCAUGCUUUCGAUUUCAUUGAUCUAGAAAAAGUGUACGAAAUAUGUUCCGUAAGAGAAGUCAAACCUUUGUUGUUUUGUUAUUCAGGCCCGUAGCCAGGGGAGUUUUAUGGUUCUGGUGAAACCCUCCCCCCCCCCCCCCCCCCACCCUUAAUUUCCGAAUGAGUCCUCCAACCCAAAUAAUGCAGUGACUCAUGGAAUGUUUUGCUGCAUACCUUUUUCAAACAUAUCUGCUUUUAUAGCAUUAUUUAGACCUAUAAAACACAAAAAUCCUCUGGCAUAGGGGGUUUUGCUGACCACACCAGGGCUUCAUGCUCAGAGAACCCCCUUGGGAAGAACCUGGCUACGGGCCUGUUAUAUACUGAGGUUGAUAUUUGCUAUGCGAUGGAUAAUGUGGAAUAUACUUCCACAUGUUCCAGUUUGUGUAAUCAUGUAUAUGUGGAAAAUGCCAGCUAUCAAUCAAUCGUUCCAUUUAUAUGGCUACAUUCCAACAUGAUUAAAAUACCGUAUACAUGGUAUCAAGACAUUGGUUCUUCUUCUACCUGCAUAUAUACUGAACAUGGGGCAAAACCUCUUUAUCUACUUGUAUGGCUGAGUUAUAUUAAUGGAGGAUAAUAGUGAAGUUCACUUAUUGGUGUACAGAAUAAAGGACCAUAAAUGUAACAGAAUCCUUAUAUAUUGUUAUGUAAUUCUUGCUUUGUUUUUCUUUUAUAAGGGGUAUCAUUUAUAUAAUCUUUUCACUUGUAAUCAUUUUUGCUAUUUUUUAAACAUGACAAUGAGAAUCCUAUCAAUAAUCCUUAUAUUUUAUUAUAUAAUGUUUGUUUUUGUCUUAUAUAUAACUUGAGCUUUUAGAAAAAUAUCAGUGAUAUGACAUUACGAUAUUUAACAGUUGAGUUUUAAUAGGUGAGAUAGUAUGGUGUUUCAGCAGGCUUUUGAACAUAGGAGCAGCUAUUUUUGUAAAUGCAAUGACAUGCACACCUGCUGAACAAAUGCUAUAUUUUUGGGGGAGAAAAUCUUAUAGUAAACACAGCCCUCUCCCAUAUGUUUUAUGUUUGAUGCUUUGUAGCUCAUUUCGUAUACUAUCAUUUUGCCUUAUCCAGUGAAUGUUUUGUUUAGAUGGAAAUAAAAAACACAUACAAUUAAUAAUGUGCGUUAGAUUUUAUUAUUUAUCGUAGGUCUCUUUUAUUCAAUAUCUUGUCUUAAGAAAGUUUUUAGACAAUAGGACAAAAGGCACCAUGGUUAAUACAUAUGUAACUUAAAUACUUGAGACACUAAUAAUUGGAAAUGCCACUACAUCUAUUGUCCAAAUUGUUCUGGUUAAUUUGCUCACCAACUAAAAUAAAUUGAACUUUUGCAAUUUGAACAAUCUAAUGUAUUAAAUACAUAUUUAUUGCAGUGAAUCCUAUCUAAUUUUAAUGAAAUUGAACAGAAAAUAUAAAUUGAGCUUUGCAUUAAAGUUACACUGUAUUGUAAAACAUAAUCAAAUUAAUUCAUGUAAUUGCUGAUUUAAAAAGAUCGGCAAGUAUCAAAUUCCAAUGAGAAUUGUACUGGAAUUGUAUUUAUUUAUUGGCCAAGAAUAUAAUUUUUAAUCUUGUAGCUUUCACUUCUUGCAAGAAGUGAAUUCAAUGUGAAAGCAGAAGACUGCAUUCAAAAUUUAAGUUUGAGAGGUGAGUUAGACAUAAAACAUUUCUCAGCCACAAUUAUGAUGAGACAGGUAUCUGAGCAUCUGUAAAAUUUCCUCCCAGGGCCCCCUCUAUUCAAGAAUACACCACUGAUUUGAAUACAAAGUUAUUCAAAUAAUGUAUUGCAUUUUAUUUUGAAAGAUUUUGUUUAGCUUAACACAGACAGUAUAUUUUUAAUGCAUGGUUGCUAUCCCUUUGUUUACAUCACACCACAUUAAGUAUACUAAAAGUGUUUCAUGGUACAAAAUGAAAAUUAAAAGUAUCUGGCAAUUUAAAAAUUAAAGGAAUGUUGAUAAUGAAAGAUUCCCUUGUAGUUAAACACAACUUUUUAAAAGCAUAAAACUGAAUCUUGAUUGGUUGAAGAAUGAAUCAAUAAUUUAUUGGAUAUACUAAUGUUUUAAUCUGAGUAACAGAAUAUUCAUGAUAUUUCUGGAUGGAUUUGGUAGAUUUGGUCCAUAUUAAGUUACAUCUCAUGAACCAUAAUUUCAUCUCAUUUAACUACAAGUUCAUUAGCCAAUUACAGGAUCAAUGCAAUAGUAAACAAAUAAUUGUUUAAGAAUGCAAUGGGAAGAAUAUUUUCAUGAGUUGAAAGAUUGACUGUUCAUUCAAUGAGGCGGAGCUGAGUUGAAUGGAACAGUCAAUCUUUCAACUCAUGAAAAUAUUCUUUCCAUUACACGAAUACAAAACAUUCAUUAUUUGUCUUAAACACUAUAAUAGAUUCUUGUCAUUUGAUAUUUUAUGGAAAAAAAAUAUAGCGUUUUUCUGAAUGAAACAGUCCAGCAUUUUUUUAACCAAUGAAAAGAUUGUAUUAGUUUGAGGCAUGCAAUAGAGUGAAACGGAUGGAAAUUAAAAUGCACAUUGUAACUAAUUAUCAUGAUGAGUGACGAAAUGAUGUAAAUAACCAAUGUCAUGGUUGUCUGGUUUCAGUCUUGGGCACGAAGUCAGAAUGAUUUCCCAUAAAAUUUGGAGUACCACAAGGGUCCGUCAUCAGUCCAUCACUGGUCACGGUGUAUACACAAGAAAUAACAAAUAUUUUAAGGGUUGCGGGUGUUAAAUUUCAUCUUAACGCUCAAAUCUACAUUAGCUGUGACCCAAAAUCACCUGAUGACCUGACCUUGGCCAUAAGUAAAUUAAAUAAAUGUAUUGACAAUCUACAAUCCUGGAUGCGUGCAAACAAACUCAAACUAAAUGAUUCGAAAACAGAAUUAAUUGUUUUUUCACCACCAAGAUUUAAUACAAACUCACUUGAUGUGAAGCUGCAAAUUGGCAUGUCCAUAAUUACUCCAUCAAAAGUUGUUAAAAACCUUGGGGUUCAGUUUGAUGAACAUCUAAACAUAGAUCUGAACGUUUCCAGGACCCGACAGACGGUUAAUUUUUAUCUUAGAAAUAUUUCUCAGAUUAGAAAUUAUAUCGAUGACAAAACGUGCACUAUUGAACUACAGUCAUUAGUUCUAUGUAGAUUAGAUUACUGUAACUAAUUACUUUCAGAAACGUCUAAAACUAAUGUGAAGUCCUUGCAAUUGCUGCAAAACAGGGCAGCAUGCAUGGUUUUUAAAGCGUCCAUGGGCACUAGUACAACCCCGUUACUCAAACAAUUAAAAAUGGCUUCCAAUUGAAAAGCGUAUUGUUUUAAAGUCAAUGAGUAUAAUCUACGUAUGUCUUAAUGCGCCUAUUUAUCUUAGAAAUUUAAUUCAAAAAUAUGAAUCUCAUAGAACUGGUCUUAGAUCCUCCAUGGAUAAUACCAUGCUUUACAUUCCACGCACAAUUAUGGACCCAAAUUAUGGAACACUCUGCCUAUCACAAUUUGUCAAUCACCAACUUUAGUUUCUUUUAGGAAAAAAUCUCAAAUCACACCUGCAACCUUAAUCUGUAGUCUUGCAACAUCCAUGGAGGAUCAGGAGUUUUUUUCUUCUUUUUUUUUGGCCAUUGUUCAUUGUUGAUCUGUUUGCGUUCUUGGAGGGUUCUCUCCUUUAAUGUGAUUGAUGUUUGGAAUUUUUAUUGUCUUUAGUCAUUGCUGACCUGUUCGCUAUGCUGGGGGGAUUUUUGUUUUUUCAUUGUGAUUUUGAUGUUUUGAAUUAAUUUGUGAUGUUGAUGUCUUUUUGUCAAAGCACUAUGUAAAUAGUGCUUAAUAAAUGAAA